rfam:Pongo abelii chromosome 17, whole genome shotgun sequence.
GACGUCGUGGCCCAAUGGGAGCACGUCUGACUCCAGAUCAGAAGGUUGCGUGUUCAAGUCACACCGAGGUCA